AUUGAACGCUGGCGGCAGGCUUAACACAUGCAAGUCGAACGAUGAAGAUAUAGCUUGCUAUAUCGGAUUAGUGGCGGACGGGUGAGUAACACUUAGGAAUCUACCUUUUAGCGGGGGAUAGCUCGGGGAAACUCGAAUUAAUACCGCAUAAUUUCUACGGAAUAAAGAGGGCUUUUAGCUCUCACUAGAAGAUGAGCCUAAGUAAGAUUAGCUAGUUGGUGGGGUAAAAGCCUACCAAGGCGACGAUCUUUAGCUGGUCUGAGAGGAUGAUCAGCCACACUGGGACUGAGACACGGCCCAGACUCCUACGGGAGGCAGCAGUGGGGAAUAUUGGACAAUGGGGGCAACCCUGAUCCAGCCAUGCCGCGUGUGUGAAGAAGGCCUUUUGGUUGUAAAGCACUUUAAGCAGUGAAGAAGACCUAUUGGCUAAUACCCAAUAGCGAUGACAUUAACUGCAGAAUAAGCACCGGCUAACUCUGUGCCAGCAGCCGCGGUAAUACAGAGGGUGCAAGCGUUAAUCGGAAUUACUGGGCGUAAAGCGAGCGUAGGUGGUUAAAUAAGUCAGAUGUGAAAGCCCUGGGCUCAACCUAGGAACGGCAUCUGAAACUAUUUAACUAGAGUAGGUGAGAGGGAAGUAGAAUUUCAGGUGUAGCGGUGAAAUGCGUAGAGAUCUGAAGGAAUACCGAUGGCGAAGGCAGCUUCCUGGCAUCAUACUGACACUGGGGCUCGAAAGCGUGGGUAGCAAACAGG
rnacentral:rRNA from 1 species